rnacentral:rRNA from 1 species
AGGUACAAGCGGACAGAAGGGAGCUUGCUCCCGGAUGUUAGCGGCGGACGGGUGAGUAACACGUGGGUAACCUGCCUGUAAGACUGGGAUAACUCCGGGAAACCGGAGCUAAUACCGGAUAGUUCCUUGAACCGCAUGGUUCAAGGAUGAAAGACGGUUUCGGCUGUCACUUACAGAUGGACCCGCGGCGCAUUAGCUAGUUGGUGGGGUAAUGGCUCACCAAGGCGACGAUGCGUAGCCGACCUGAGAGGGUGAUCGGCCACACUGGGACUGAGACACGGCCCAGACUCCUACGGGAGGCAGCAGUAGGGAAUCUUCCGCAAUGGACGAAAGUCUGACGGAGCAACGCCGCGUGAGUGAUGAAGGUUUUCGGAUCGUAAAGCUCUGUUGUUAGGGAAGAACAAGUGCGAGAGUAACUGCUCGCACCUUGACGGUACCUAACCAGAAAGCCACGGCUAACUACGUGCCAGCAGCCGCGGUAAUACGUAGGUGGCAAGCGUUGUCCGGAAUUAUUGGGCGUAAAGGGCUCGCAGGCGGUUUCUUAAGUCUGAUGUGAAAGCCCCCGGCUCAACCGGGGAGGGUCAUUGGAAACUGGGAAACUUGAGUGCAGAAGAGGAGAGUGGAAUUCCACGUGUAGCGGUGAAAUGCGUAGAGAUGUGGAGGAACACCAGUGGCGAAGGCGACUCUCUGGUCUGUAACUGACGCUGAGGAGCGAAAGCGUGGGGAGCGAACAGGAUUAGAUACCCUGGUAGUCCACGCCGUAAACGAUGAGUGCUAAGUGUUAGGGGGUUUCCGCCCCUUAGUGCUGCAGCUAACGCAUUAAGCACUCCGCCUGGGGAGUACGGUCGCAAGACUGAAACUCAAAGGAAUUGACGGGGGCCCGCACAAGCGGUGGAGCAUGUGGUUUAAUUCGAAGCAACGCGAAGAACCUUACCAGGUCUUGACAUCCUCUGACAACCCUAGAGAUAGGGCUUUCCCUUCGGGGACAGAGUGACAGGUGGUGCAUGGUUGUCGUCAGCUCGUGUCGUGAGAUGUUGGGUUAAGUCCCGCAACGAGCGCAACCCUUGAUCUUAGUUGCCAGCAUUCAGUUGGGCACUCUAAGGUGACUGCCGGUGACAACCGGAGGAAGGGGGGGAUGACGUCAAUCAUCAUGCCCUUAUGACUGGGCUACCACGUGCUACAUGGACAA